CCUACGGGUGGCUGCAGUGGGGAAUAUUGCUCAAUGGGGGAAACCCUGAUGCAGCAACGCCGCGUGGGGGAUGAAGUACUUCGGAGUGUAAAGCUCUGUUAGUAGGGAAGAUAAUGACGGUACCUGACCAAUAAGCCCCGGCUAACUACGUGCCAGCAGCCGCGGUAAUACGGAGGGGGCAAGCGUUAUACGGAUUCACUGGGAGUAAAGGGAGCGUAGACGGGAGUGCAAGUCUGAUGUGAAAGCCUGUGGCUCAACCACAGGACUGCAUUGGAAACUGUGAUGCUGGAGUACAGGAGAGGUAGGUGGAAUUCUUGGUGUAGCGGUGAAAUGCGUAGAGAUCAAGAGGAACACUCAUGGCGAAGGCGGCUUACUAGACUGUAACUGACGCUGAGGCGCGAAAGCGUGGGGAGCAAACAGGAUUAGAUACCCUAGUAGUC
rnacentral:rRNA from 1 species